rnacentral:misc_RNA from 1 species
CCAAUAGCGUAUAUUAAAGUUGUUGCAGUUAAAAAGCUCGUAGUUGAAUUUCGGGAUCAGUAGGUCGGUCGUGCCACUGGUAUGAACUGGUCUCACUGGUUCCUCCCUCUUGACGAACUGCAAUGCUAUUAAUUUAGUGUUGCAGGAAAUCAGGACUGUUACUUUGAAAAAAUUAGAGUGUUUAAAGCAGGCUUUGGCUUGAAUACAUUAGCAUGGAAUAAUGAAAUAGGACGUUCGAUCCUAUUUUGUUGGCUUCUAGGAUUGACGUAAUGAUUAAUAGGGACAGUUGGGGGCAUUAGUAUUCAAUUGUCAGAGGUGAAAUUCUUGGAUUUAUUGAAGACUAACUACUGCGAAAGCAUUUGCCAAGGAUGUUUUCAUUAAUCAAGAACGAAAGUUAGGGGAUCGAAGACGAUCAGAUACCGUCGUAGUCUUAACCAUAAACUAUGCCGACUAGGGAUCGGAUGAUGUUAAUUUUUUAAUGACUCAUUCGGCGCCUUACG